UUUUAAUAUGAUGAAUAUUCUAGGUAGAGAAUAUGGAUAGUAUUACCAUUAUUAGUAUUACGUCAACAUUAACUCAACAAUUGUAUUGUUGACAUGAAGAAAAAGCUAUUUCGAGGUUGUUUUGACCAUUGAUUGCUAAUAACACCUGGCGCCGUGACCUGGAUGCAGAUUCUAAGCAGAUGGGCCAAAAUGGGGGCAGCUAGAGAGACUCGCCUGGAACUGACAAGCCUGGAGGGAGCUGGUUGACUGUUGGCGAGAUGGGACAACAGACGAAGAAUAAACGAACCUACUUGAUUUGAUAAACAUUUUUAUGUUUUUCAGUUUCGUCGGAAGACAUUUCCCACCAACCAUCCUGUCUUGAAAAAAAUAACUUUUGAACCCGAUUAUCUGAUAUUUUCCAGUUUCCCCUCACAGCAAUUUGCAUCAAACCUCUUGUCUGCUCCUCAGCUGAAAUCAUCAUCUAGCAGUCACAAUAGUUGAGCGGUUGGAGAGGCAUGCAUUGCGUCCUACUACUGCUCAGACUAUAUCAUGUUUGGCAGACAAAACAUGCUGAUCAAAAAGAAUGUGUACCACAGGGGCCAGUGUUUCCAUUUGAGUGAUUGACAAGAAGAAGAAGAGAUGAGAAAUGUUAUCAUCAUAUUUUAGUCCCUACAUUUAUAGUGUACAGCUCAAUGUAUUGAACCGGUGUUGUAGAAUAUAAUUGGAGAUACAUGCGAACAUUAUAACAUUAUAUAUAAGAUGAUAUUUCAAAAGCAAUAAGAAAUAAAAAGUAUAAAAAGGUCAAAACAGUAAACCUUGUGUUUACAGUGGACAGGUUUAAAGUGGAAGUGACUAGUUAACUGUUGAUCAUAAGCUGCACUGAUGGAAAAAAUAGUGGGAAAUUACUAUCUAGAAAACUGUUUAACGUACGACAACAGUUGUGGAACUUCAUAAAUGACCGUAUGUAACAGGGCUGUGCAGUUUUCCUUAUAUAGCUAUAGUGAAACCUUUUGAACACUAGUGAAGUCACUGUUUUUUUUCAAAUCUUCAUGCAUUUUGGUCGAAUAUUUGUUCAAAUGAUGGCUCAGUCCAGUUUCGAAAUUUUUAUGUCUAUUCAAAAAACAUAUCCACUAGAGCACGAGGCAAUUGUCUUUAUGGCUAUAAUGAAACCUUGUAAAUUCUCUAGAAGUGCCAUUUUUAGCCAUAUCUCCAUAAAUUUUGGUCAGAAUAUUUAUUCUAAUGAUAGCUCAGUUGUCGAGUUUGUAACUGGUUCCGGUUUGUAGACUAACAUGGCUGCCAGUGGACAUGACAGUUUUUCUUAAAGUGCUAGAGUAGAACCUUGUUAACACACAAUUGGGCUUUUUUAUGUGCAUUUUUCAUGAAAGAUGAUCAGAGCAUUUGGCCCAAUGUAAUCUCAGCUGACUUUGAAACUGGAUCACAUAACGUCAAAAAGUGGGUCAAAAUGUCAAAUUAAAAAAAGCUUGUAAACACUGGAAGUUGCAUUUAAAAUUGUGUUCCUUUUUUAUGUCCCCCACUAUAGUAGUGGGGGACAUAUUGUUUUGCCCUGUCUGUUGGUUGGUCUGUUGGUUGGUUGGUUUGCGCCAACUUUAACAUUUGCAAUAACUUUUGCAAUAUUGAAGAUAGGAACUUGAUAUUUUGCAUGCAUAUGUAUCUCAUGGAGCUGCACAUUUUGAGUUGUGAAAGGUCAAGGUCAUCCUUCAAGGUCAAAGGUCAAAUAUAUGGGUCAAAAUCGCUCAUUUAAUGUACACUUUUGCAGUAUUUCAAUAUUGAAGAUAGCAACUUGAUAUUUGGCAUGCAUGUGUAUCUCAUGGAGCUGCACAAUUUGAGUGGUGAAAGGUUAAGUUCAUCCUUCAAGGUCAGAUGUCAAAUAUAUGUGUCCAAAAUCGCUCAUUUUAUUAUACUUUUGCAAUAUUGAAGAUAGCAACUUGAUAUAUGGCAUGCAUGUGUAUCUCAUGGAUCUGCACAUUUUAAGUGGUGAAAGGUCAAGGUCAUCCUUCAAGGUCAGAGGUCAAAUAUAUGUGGCCCAAAUCGCUAAUUUUAUGAAUACUUUUUCUAUAUUGAAGAUAGCAACUUGAUAUUAGGCAUGCAUGUGUAUCUCAUGGAGCUGCACAUUUUUAGUGGUGAAAGGUCAAGGUCAUCCUUCAAGGUCAAAUAUAUGGGUCAAAAUUGAUCAUGUAAUGUCACUUCUGCAAUAUUGAAGCUAGCAAUUUUAUAUUUGAAAUGCAUGUGUAUCUCAUGGAGCUGCACAUUUUGAGUGGUGAAGGGUCAAGGUCAUCCUACAAGGUCAAACGUCAUAAAGGGGGAAAUUGUGUUUCACAAACACAUCUUGUUUAAAGUUUGUCAAAACAUUUGCUGUAAUGAUAAGCAAAGUCAAGUUUAUAAAUGAUUAUUUGCCUACAAAUUACAUAUUUUUCAUCAAGUUCAUUUAUUAUUCUAAACUACACCCUCUCAGAAUAGUUUAGUUACUUCUGGUCACAGUUGAGCACCUUAGGGCUCUUGUUCUAUAAUUUGAUUGUUUUGGAAAAUUGUCAUUUUGCCAAAAUGUGAGCAAGUCCAAAUUUAAUUAACCCUGCUUUGUAGUAUCUUGUUUUCCUUAUAUGUAUUUAAUUAUAAUUAUCUAUGAAUCUGACUGCAUAGAUAUUUGGUAUUCAGCAAAGCAUCGUGUAAAUGUAGUAAAACUAAACACAAUUGUGUUAGCAUAAAACUGGCCAUGCCAUGGGGGUCAAAUGGUAAAUACAGACUUGUAGGAAAAAGACUUCUAAAAAUUUUAUCCAUUAAAUAUAUUUUGUGUACAUAAUGAUUAGCUUUUUCCUUCAACUUAUC